rnacentral:misc_RNA from 1 species
AACCUUAUGGACCUGCGGGCGUAUACCUGCGGAGGGAUCAUUACCGAGUUUACAACUCCCAAACCCCUGUGAACAUACCAAUUGUUGCCUCGGCGGAUCAGCCCGCUCCCGGUAAAACGGGACGGCCCGCCAGAGGACCCCUAAACUCUGUUUCUAUAUGUAACUUCUGAGUAAAACCAUAAAUAAAUCAAAACUUUCAACAACGGAUCU